CAAUAUUUUCUCCAAACCUCUCUCCAAAAACAUCUUACGAAUGCUGAAGCUCUUUCAGCCUGAAUCUCUUCUGCUCAGAUCGAUCGUCUCCUAAAAAGGCCGAUCUGAGCAGAUCAUUAACAACCCAUGAUCUCUUGUUAUUUGGUUUCUCUAAUCUAAUCUUUUGUUACUCGUUUUACUUUUCGGCUUACGUUAAUUUUAGGUGCAGUCUCUACAAUUUUUAUGGUUCUGUUCAUUGGAUCUAAGGCUGUUGUGGUCUGUGAUCUAUGGAUGAAUAGAAAUCAGAACAUAUCUUCUUCCUUUGUUCUGAUCUAUGAACACCUUGAAGCAAUUUCUAAAUCUCCAGCAACUACAUCAUCUCUACCAAGUCCGAUCAGGAUCAAGUUCAUCAUCAACUUCACCAUCCAGAAAUUGUUACUCAAACUCCCAUGCCGAUUCAGUCCGACUCAGCCCGUUCCAGACACUUUGAUAUCGAUUCAGAAGACUCCAUAGACCUAUCUUCCUGUUACUUUGAAACUGUUACUUACUGCUACUCUGAUAAUCUUAGUUGCUAUAACUUUGAUUUACUUAUUCUUAGCAAAACUUGGUUGGAUCUAACCAAGAUCCCGUUGUUGCUAUGUGUAGUGAUGUAAAUGAGCCUUAUAUGGCUAGUUUAGCCACCGGAUGUGGUUAUUGCUUUUAAAAAAUCUUGGCUGGAUCUUAUUAAGAUCUCUCCGCUAUUAUGUGCAGUAAUGCAAACUAGACUUAUUAAGAUCUCUCCGCUAUUAUGUGAUGUGUUCUUUGAUGAACUCUGAAUUGGUAGAAACGUUUGAAGGGGUUGAUUUGUUGGUCAAAAAUUGGUGGAGAUAUCAUAGAUUCGAUGAAUGUAAUAUGAACUUGAAAAAUUCUAUAAGGUUUUCCGACUACCAAAAUCGGUUGAAUGAAUGAAUGUACUGUCGAGGAUUUUUCAUCUUUUUAUGAGAAAAAAAAAUCCUUUUUUCUAGCAGCUA